rnacentral:rRNA from 1 species
UUGCUAGCAGCCGCGGUAAUACGAAGGGGGCUAGCGUUGCUCGGAAUCACUGGGCGUAAAGGGUGCGUAGGCGGGUCUUUAAGUCAGAGGUGAAAGCCUGGAGCUCAACUCCAGAACUGCCUUUGAUACUGAGGGUCUUGAGUAUGGGAGAGGUGAGUGGAACUGCGAGUGUAGAGGUGAAAUUCGUAGAUAUUCGCAAGAACACCAGUGGCGAAGGCGGCUCACUGGCCCAUUACUGACGCUGAGGCACGAAAGCGUGGGGAGCAAACAGGAUUAGAAACCCCAGUAGUCC